CCUUCUCAUGCAUUCUCCGUUUUCGCAGCUCUCUCUGCACCACUCAGACUUUUGUGUGCUUGUCCUCUUGGUAUGGCGUAUGGUGGAACCGGUUCUACGCAGCUCCAGCACAUGCUAUCCCAGCCACAAACUGAGCAACAGCAGCAGCAGCAGCCACAGCAGCAGCAACAACAGCAGCAGCAGCCGCCGCUCCUCCUGCCUCUCACUUUACUGCUUGUGACUUUAUCUGCUUGCCUUUCCCAAUGGUACUUUUCCUCACGGUGCUGAUUUCCUUUGUCCAUAAGGCAUGUUUCCCUUCAAAGUCCUGAGCGUGGAGGGGUGAGGAAAAGAGAAGCCGUGUCUGAGGAAAGGGGAGAUGAGGGAACAGCGAAUAAAAUGUGACGAGGCUGGAGUGAAACAGAGAUGCAAGGCUGCAAGUCAAGAGGGAAAGCACUAACUCGAGAGUGAGGAAGAGGGGACAGAGAGAAGGAAUCAAGUUGGAGAGAAACGCGGGAAAAGUUGGUGUCCGCUUCAUGUCUGAGGAACAACACCUGCCACACAAGGGAGUAAUCUCAAGCUCUGUGCGUUUGUGACGGCAGCCCUGCGGAGACAAAAGACCAUCAGAGGGAGAGAGAGAGAGAGAGCUGAGAGGAAGCACAGAUUCACUCUGGCCGGGAAAGAAAGAAAAGAAGACGCUGACUUUAAGGUGGAUGGAUGCCUUAAACACCAUCGUUGUCCUGCUCUUCGUAACCCAUUGAAAACUAAUUUCAUCUUCACUGGUAAGCCAGAAUGCAGAUUCUCUCUUUGCUCCUAAUAUUGAACUGAUAUAUGAUUGUACUGCAUGAAGAUAAUGUCAACCCAGUAAGACCUGCAACUUAGAAUGUCUCUGACUGGAUACAUGUGAACUAUAAAUGCCUGUAAAUUCAUGUGAACAGUAACUCCAUGUAUUUUUUCUUUUCCAGAGAGUUUUGGAGUAUUAAACAAUCGUACCUCAGAAAUGAUCAACUAAAGAUAAAUGUGCCUUUCUAAUGAUGCGUAUGUUAUAUUUAUAUUGUUAUAAAGGGUUAAGGUUAGAGUAGUUAUUAAAAAUUAAAAAUAAAUGUCCCUUUUUAGUCAUCUAAGUUAUGUUGUCGGUUAUUAUUGCUGCUACUAUGUUUCUUAUAUAUGUAUGAACUUGAUUUUUAAAUCCCUUUUCACUCACUGAGCCUGAAAAGCUAUUAUACUCUGUAAUUUGUCAGUGCUAGCUCAAUAAAUCAUGUUCGAAAUGCCCAUGACAUUUAACAAAAGUUGAAUCAAUUGUUUCUCCUAAAUUAAUAGCAUUUCCUCCACAAUUUGCUCAACUGCUGCACCGCUGAGAUUAUUUGUGCCUGCUGUGAAAAAUAUUACCUUGCUUCUGACUGUUACUCUGCAAGACAAAAGAAGAGUGUGGGUAAAACGUAGACAAGUGUGUCGAAUAUGAUUAUGUUUUAAUUGAACUGAUCAGUUUUGCUUCAGAUCCGCAGCAAACCAGGAGACCCGUCGGUGCCGCAGAAUCCAAAUGUCAGAUGAGGUCAUGUCUUUGUCGCGGUGCAGCGACUCUGCGGUUCCUAUUUUUUUAAAAAUGCGUUUCGUCUCAGCGUUGUUGGAGGUUUUUUUGUACAUUAACUUGCUCUGUAUUUAAACCCUCCCUGUGUAUUUUAAUUUCACAGUAUGCCCCUCUGUCCCUGAGACCCUUAACCUGUGAGGUCAAAGCAGGUCACAGGUGAGGUCCUCGGGAACAGGGCUGCAUUCAGUUUCAACGUCCUAUAAAAAAAGAAGCAUUUUUAAAAGUAUCGUCACACAAUAAAUGUCUGUUUCAGUGUUUGAUAUAUCUGUUAAUAUUCUCACCAUUCUUUUAAACUUAAGAAAACCUUCUGAUUAUACUAUGUCACAUUUUCUCGGCUGUAAUGUAUGUUAGUAUGCAGCUGUGUCUGUAUGUUUCAGUGUGUUGUAUGUGUAUGUCAUGAUCAAGACUUGUCAGGUUGACCAAGAAGACGAUGACCCCUCCUCUUGCAGCACAGACACUCUCAGGG